GACGAACGCUGGCGGCGUGCUUAACACAUGCAAGUCGAACGGGAAGGCCCCUUCGGGGGUACUCGAGUGGCGAACGGGUGAGUAACACGUGAGUAACCUGCCCUUGACUUCGGGAUAACUUCAGGAAACUGGGGCUAAUACCGGAUAGGAAUCCUUGCUGCAUGGUGGGGGUUGGAAAGCUUCGGCGGUUUUGGAUGGACUCGCGGCUUAUCAGCUUGUUGGUGGGGUAGUGGCUUACCAAGGCUUUGACGGGUAGCCGGCCUGAGAGGGCGACCGGCCACAUUGGGACUGGGAUACGGCCCAGACUCCUACGGGAGGCAGCAGUGGGGAAUAUUGCACAAUGGGCGGAAGCCUGAUGCAGCAACGCCGCGUGCGGGAUGACGGCCUUCGGGUUGUAAACCGCUUUCAGCAGGGGCGAAGCUUGUGGUGACGGUACCUGCAGAAGAAACACCGGCUAACUACGU
rnacentral:rRNA from 1 species